UACGGGGGGGGUAAGCGUUGUUCGGAAUUACUGGGCGUAAAGGGCUCGUAGGCGGCCAACUAAGUCAUACGUGAAAUCCCUCAGCUUAACUGGGGAACUGCGUGUGAUACUGGAUGGCUUGGAUUUGGGAGAGGGAUGCGGAAUUCCAGGUGUAGCGGUGAAAUGCGUAGAUAUCUGGAGGAACACCGGUGGCGAAGGCAGGUCUCUGGGCUGACACUGACGCUCAUGCACGAAAGCGUGGGGAGCAAACAGG
rnacentral:rRNA from 1 species